CCCUCACUCACUGGCGCGCGCACACAAAGGAAGCGGAGGAGAGGCGCACGGGAUGCGGGUUGCUGCUCUUGCCCUCAGGGCGGGCUACUGAGGGCGCCCAGCCCCAGGCGGGAAAACAAGGCGAGCGGCCGAGCGCUUGCAAGAGCGCACCGGCGGCGCUGACCCAGCGGGCGCCGCUCCUUCCAUGUGCCAAGGCUGGUCCAGCUUCGGGAAGCCGAGGCUGCCGGUCGCGCCGCCUCCGGGCGGGGGGCGGGGAGGGGCGGACGGGGGUGGGGUAGGGAGGCUAAGCCCGAGGAGGCGCUUCCUCAGGCGGCUGGCGCUGGUGUGGAACUUCCCGGCUCUCGGGCGGAGGGAGAAAGGAUCCUGCCGCCUCCGGACUAGGGCUCGCGCUUCUCUCUCCUCCCCCCCCCCCAAGUCUUCUUUCAUAAUUUACUUUAUGGGAGUCUCUCUCUCGGCAUCUCCCACUCCCCCAAGCACACUUCCGAACAAACAUAACAAGCUGCGUUUGCCACAAGAUCAUAGGAACAUGCUGUUCUCUUUCGGUAAAACUAGCAGCCUUUUGUUUAGGUGUCCCUGCUUUCCUUCAGUUACCUGCAGGGUUUUCCCUCCCUCGGAGAGGCAGGGCAGCCCUCUGCUGAGGGGAUGCUGUUGCCUCAGGAUUGCCUAGAUCAGAAAGGAGGGCUGGCCUGCAAGAGCCCCCUCUGCAACUCUUCUUGCCAGUUGGGGUCGCUCAGUGUCGGAUUUACGGAUAAGCUAAACAAGCUAUAGCUUAGGGCCCCACUCUCGGGGAUGCCCCAAAAAAGUUAAAGGAGAAAAACAACCAGAUGUACAUUUACAAAAUAUAAGAUAAAAAGCAAAUAAAAUAAAACCUACAUACAGCAACAGUGUUUUGUGUUGUGUAGGCUUCUAUGAUGUAAGGAAUGGGCCCCGCCUGCUAGCCUGCUCCCUAAAAUAUCACUGGUUUGUUCAUUUCUAUAUAUAGGGUGCCUACAUUCUGCAUGGACUUGUUGCAUGGCAACAUGUGCAAAUGGCUUUAGAUACCUAAUUGGUUCAUAAAUUACCAUAUAGCAUAUACUCAACACAAAAAACAGUGACAAUUUGUCGUUGACAAAGGACAGCUAGACAUACAAAGGGCCCCAUUACCUUCAGUAGCUUAGGGCCUCAUCAAACCUAAAUCUGGCCCUGGGAUCGAUUUCCUCCAUUGCAAGCACUGCACAUGGCUUAUAUUAUAUUAUAUUAUAUUAUAUUAUAUUAUAUUAUAUUAUAUUAUAUUAUAUUAUAUUAUUUCUUUAUAAUCCUGUAAUAGUGGCCGUGCUCAUUCAUGAGGAAGGCUUUGGGAGUAAACGUGAGGGAAAAUCCACACCCGCUGCCUUGCAGGACAUCUUCAGGAGAAGAAAAGGCUAAGGAGUAAACCCUACACAAAUCCGGAAUGGAGCCCCCAAGGAGGUUGGAUGGCGCCUUGUUCGCCUCCUUCUGGCAACUAGCUGCAGCCAAGCUGGUGUCAAACAUAUCUCUGCUUUCCUUUGGACCUUAUCAGCGAGGCCAGGAAGACAGCCCAGGACCUCCAUACACACUGCCCAGGCUUGCAAGGAGGUCACUUUUGUGCCACUAAAACAACACAGGAAGCAGCAGUUACAAGCUGCCAGUCUCUGCAGCCACAGCAGCUGCUGUGAUUCUCCAGCGGUUUGACUGGAUUAAUAUACUGUAUUUAAGAUAAUCUCCCCAACCAAAAAAGGAUCAGUUUAGACAUGACUUACAUUAACAUGCCUUUGUACUGUCUACAGUACGCCUAUGACUGCAGAAUAUGUCCCAGAUAUAGUACUGUCCCUCAGGGGGACAGAUAUAGUACUGUACCUGAGGGACGCGGGUGGCGCUGUCGGUUAAACCACAGAGCCUAGGACUUGCCGAUCAGAAGGUUGGCGGUUCGAAUCCCCGCGACGGGGUGAGCUCCCGUUCCUCAGUCCCUGCUCCUGCCAACCUAGCAGUUCGAAAGCACAUCAAAGUGUAAGUAGAUAAAUAGGUACCGCUCUGGCGGGAAGGUAAACGGUGUUUCCAUGCGCUGCUCUGGUUCGCCAGAAGCAGCUGUCAUGCUGGCCACAUGACCCGGAAGCUGUACACCGGCUCCCUUGGCCAAUAAAGCAAGAUGAGUGCCGCAACCUGAGUCGGUCACGACUAGACCUAAUGGUCAGGGGUCCCUUUACGUUUACCUAUAGUACUGUAGUUUUGACAGCUAGGAUACCUCAUUUUGUUACUGUUAUUGUUACAUUUUGAAAGUUAAAUUUAAACACCUGAGAAGAUCACCUACUCCAGCAUCCUGUUCACAGUAGCCAACCGGUUGCCUCUAGGAAGUCUACAAGAAGGACAUGAGCACAGCAGCAGUGCCCCUGUUUGUGCUCCUCAGAAACAGGUAUUCAGAGACAUACUGUAUCUGAUCCUAAAGUCAAAGGAGCCCUUCCAAAAAAGAAAAGGAAAGGAAAGGAAAGGAAAGGAAAGGAAAGGGAGGAAGGGGUUUGCUUGUUUGCAACUCUAACUGCAAAAUGAAAUGCAGAUGCAAAGGAAGAAUCUCACAAGAACCAUGCUACCUUUUUUUGAUGUGCUGUUUCAAUUCCCAGAAUUUAACUUUGGGAAAUUUACAUAUAAUGAUGUUCUUGGCAAUACUGACAUCCAAUACAGUGGUGACAGAACAGUUAGUUUCAGCGCUCAAUUUGAGUCAGUGGUGGCUGAAGUUGGACCUCAAAAUCUUUUCCAGAAGCAGCUCCUUUUAGUUUUUCAGUUUGUAGACUGCAGAAGUUUCCUCCGCAACAGGCAUUAAGCUGUGACUGCCAUUUGAACACAGAGUGUUCUUUCCCUGCCUUCCAUUGUAUCUUUUGAAACUGCCACCAUGCACCUUUUUAUUAUUAUUUAUUAAUUAUGCAUACCGCUCUUCAUCCAAAGAUCACGGGGCGGUUCACAACGUAAACACACAAAAUGAAAACACAAAAUAUAUAAUAAAACAAAAGCAAAAAAAUAAGGCUGAGACCUGACAAUGAAAUAUACAUGCUUGCUUUGCUAAUUGCUAGCCCUUCCCCAAUAUGUACAAUACAGCAUUGCUUUAUUUCUAAUUGAAUGAAACACUGUCUGUAUAGGAAACAGUUAUAGAACAGUUCAGGAACCCCUCUGGUGGCAGCUCAGUAUAGCUCAUGCAAUACAGUAGUUAGUUAUUAGUCAUGUCUGCUACCACAGGCCUGAAUAACUUAGGCCCAGGUUCCCCUGUACAGCCCAAGUCAAUUGCUUUAUGGACCAGAAGUGUGAUUCAUGUCAAUGCAGAGUUUUGCUUUCAGUGUUGUUUGUGGGCCCAUCUAUAUGAAGUUAGAUAGGCACAGUCCCUACUGAGAUGCAUGGUCAAAAUGGUUUUACAGUCGUACCUUGGCUUCCUGCAGCCAAUCAGAAGCCGUGUUUUGGUUUCCAAACGUUUUGGAACUUGAACAGACUUCCAGAACACAUUCCGUUCAACUUCCAAGGUAUGACUGUAUUUCAAAAAGCUUUCACAACCUGAAUGCUUCUCAAAUGUUCUGUUUUUUUAUUUUUAGGGAAAUAGAUUUCAAAGACAGGCGUGCCUGGCGUGCUCUGGUCCAUGGGGUCACAAAGAGUCGGACACGACUAAAUGACUAAACAACAGAUUUCAAAAGAAAAACCUGCACACACAACACAAAUAGCAUCAAUAUUAAGUGGGAAACAUUCAACACCAUGAAAUCGAUAG